rnacentral:rRNA from 1 species
UACGUAGGUGGCAAGCGUUGUCCGGAUUUACUGGGUGUAAAGGGCGCGUAGGCGGGAUAGCAAGUCAGAUGUGAAAUGUAUGGGCUUAACCCAUGAACUGCAUUUGAAACUGUAAUUCUUGAGUAUCGGAGAGGCAGGCGGAAUUCCUAGUGUAGCGGUGAAAUGCGUAGAUAUUAGGAGGAACACCAGUGGCGAAGGCGGCCUGCUGGACGAAGACUGACGCUGAGGCGCGAAAGCGUGGGGAGCAAACAGG